AGAGGACACACGAUUUACUUCCGCAUUCCUGUCAUUUCGCCGUUGUAACAUUUACUUCACCUUGCACUCCCUUCAUUCUUAAAUAAAAGAUGAGUUUUGGGUGUAGAAAUGAAAUUAUUUUUUAAAUUCACGCUUGGGAGAGAAGGGGCGGGACUUCCGCUUCAGUAGGGUUUCUCUUGGUUUCCUUUCCGCUUCCUUUCCUUUCUUUCUGAGAUGGAGACACAGGCUAACGUGUAUUUCUGUUCCUCUGAUCGAAUUUAUUUAGCGCCAAAUGGCAGUCCAAGACGCUCUUUAUUUUUACUUUUUGAAGCAUGGUAUAGAAAAAGAAAACUAAAGUGAGAGUCAAAGGCAGAUAAAUAUCAAGAAUUCAAGGAAAUCCUAACUACUAGGCUAAAACAUGAUGCAAAUUCUCAGAGUCUGGACUUAAUGAAAAUGCAGCAGAUGUGAGAGCUGGAGCAAGAGGUUCCACUAAAAAGGAGUGACUCCAGUUUAGGAUGCAAUUUUACCUGCACUGAUGAGAGAGCAGG